rnacentral:sRNA from 1 species
CGAGUCCUGCCGCCGUCCCGGAUGACUGGUCGACAGGAGUGCAUCGGCAGGAGUGGAGGACCCAAGCAGUACGGGGUGACCGGAGACGGUCGUCCCUCGGGGUGAAGCCGCAGCACGCGGCCGGGCAUCUUCGCCUGUCCGAACCCGACAGGUCAUCCUUCACAGGCGGCUGACGAAGGGUUG